AUUGAACGCUGGCGGCAUGCUUUACACAUGCAAGUCGAACGGCAGCGCGGGCGUCGGCCUGGCGGCGAGUGGCGAACGGGUGAGUAAUACAUCGGAACGUGCCCAGUAGUGGGGGAUAGCUCGGCGAAAGCCGGAUUAAUACCGCAUACGACCUGAGGGUGAAAGCGGGGGAUCUUCGGACCUCGCGCUAUUGGAGCGGCCGAUGGCAGAUUAGCUAGUUGGUGGGGUAAAGGCCUACCAAGGCGACGAUCUGUAGCUGGUCUGAGAGGACGACCAGCCACACUGGGACUGAGACACGGCCCAGACUCCUACGGGAGGCAGCAGUGGGGAAUUUUGGACAAUGGGCGAAAGCCUGAUCCAGCAAUGCCGCGUGUGUGAUGAAGGCCUUCGGGUUGUAAAGCACUUUUGGCGGGAACGAAAAGGACUGUGCCAAUACCACGGUUCGAUGACGGUACCCGCAGAAUAAGCACCGGCUAACUACGUG
rnacentral:rRNA from 1 species